GCCCUAGUAGUAUAAGCAUUACUUUGGUCUUGUAAACCAAAAAUGAAGUAUUUUAAACCUUCUUAGAGCA
rnacentral:tRNA from 1 species